rnacentral:pre_miRNA from 1 species
ACACACUGGGGGUAGCCCGUGUGCAUUGUAGUUGCAUUGCACGUUGUCAAUUCUUUGUUUCGCGCAAUGCUUCGGCAGUGCAACUCGGGAUGCCAACCGCU